rnacentral:rRNA from 1 species
AACACAUGCAAGUCGAGCGGUAAGGCCCUUUCGGGGGUACACGAGCGGCGAACGGGUGAGUAACACGUGAGUAAUCUGCCCUUCACUUCGGGAUAAGCCUCGGAAACGGGGUCUAAUACCGGAUACGACACUUUUACGCAUGUAAUGGGUGUGGAAAGUUUUUUCGGUGGGGGAUGUGCUCGCGGCCUAUCAGCUUGUUGGUGGGGUAAUGGCCUACCAAGGCUUCGACGGGUAGCCGGCCUGAGAGGGUGACCGGCCACACUGGGACUGAGACACGGCCCAGACUCCUACGGGAGGCAGCAGUGGGGAAUAUUGGACAAUGGGCGGAAGCCUGAUCCAGCAACGCCGCGUGAGGGAUGACGGCCUUCGGGUUGUAAACCUCUUUCAGCGGGGACGAAGCGCAAGUGACGGUACCCGCAGAAGAAGCACCGGCCAACUACGUGCCAGCAGCCGCGGUAAUACGUAGGGUGCGAGCGUUGUCCGGAAUUAUUGGGCGUAAAGGGCUCGUAGGCGGUUUGUCGCGUCGGGAGUGAAAACGCCGGGCUUAACUCGGUGCUUGCUUUCGAUACGGGCAGACUAGAGGCAUGCAGGGGAGAACGGAAUUCCUGGUGUAGCGGUGAAAUGCGCAGAUAUCAGGAGGAACACCGGUGGCGAAGGCGGUUCUCUGGGGCAUGUCCUGACGCUGAGGAGCGAAAGUGU